rnacentral:pre_miRNA from 1 species
AAAAAGGCAAAUCCUAGGUUUUCGUGUUCAACUUUGACUGUCCGUCUUAUAUGAAAUUUUUUUAUAAUUCAUAUUUUUAUUGUAGUUAGAUGAUAAAACAUGAUUAAUACUUUGUGCGUGACUUGUCUUUUAUUUUUUUUCAUAAUUUUUCAAAUAAGACGGACGGUCAAACGUUGGGCACGGAAAUCAGGGUU